UAUUUGAAGUUUUGAACUUUCUAAAUUGAAUUUUUCACUUGGCUCUUAAUUUUAUUUAAUUUUUUGUAAUAACAACGUAAAAAUGGUUAACAUUAGUGAUAGUGCUGUUAAAAAAAUUGGCAAAGUGCUAUGUGAUCAAAACCGGCCUAUGAAAGAGAGAUUUAGAGCUCUUUUUACUUUACGAGAUAUUGGUGGUUUAACUGCUAUUAACUGUAUCAAUGAGUGUUUUACCGAUGAAUCAGUGCUCUUAAAACAUGAGCUAGCCUAUUGCCUAGGUCAGAUGCAGGACAAAACUGCGAUACCUAUUCUAAGAAAUGUAUUAGAGGACAAAAAUCAAGACCCUAUUGUAAGACAUGAAGCAGGAGAGGCGUUGGGAGCAAUUGGGUGUCCUGAACUUUUUGAGCUGUUAGAAAAAUACCAGAAUGAUGAAGCGAUUGAAGUCUCUGAGACAUGUAAAAUAGCUCUACAAAGAUUGCACUGGGUUGCCUCAGAUAAAAAUAAAAAACUGUCAGAAAGCAGAUAUUUAUCUAUUGACCCUGCACCUCCUAGUUCUGAGGUUGAUGUAGAAAAGUUAAAAAGCACUAUGAUGAAUGAAGAUAUACAUUUAUUUGAGAGGUACAGGGCAAUGUUCAGCCUCAGAAAUUUGUGUUCAACUGAAAGUAUAAAUGCUUUGGGAGAAGGUUUCAAAGCAAGUAGUCCAUUAUUCCGCCAUGAGGUUGCAUUUAUAUUUGGACAGAUGCAAGACGAGCGCAGUGUGCCUUUCCUCAUAAAAGCAUUGGAGGAUACAUCAGAACAUGAGAUGGUCAGACAUGAAGCAGCUGAAGCACUUGGUUCUAUCGCUACAGCUGAAUGCACAGAGGUCUUAAAGAAGUACCUGACAGAUCCCAGACCAGUGGUAAGAGAGAGUUGCGAAGUGGCCUUAGAUAUGAGCGAGUAUGAAAACAGUCCGGAGUUUCAAUAUGCAAACACAUUAACAUUGGUAGACGGCUAAAUAUUGUUGUCUCCAUUUUAGUUUUCCAAAAUAUUUCAUUGUUGACAUUGUAUGUGGGGUGUUCAAGAAAGAGUGAGAAUGUGUAAGUUUUUUUUUUUCGAUAUAGUCGCCUUUUUGCCUGUUACAUGAAGAAUAUAUUUUAUCUAAGUUUAAAAUUCCCUUAUUAAUAAAAACUUCUUUGGCUAUGGCUUCAUCAUCUUUGAUUCUCUGUCCUUUCACAAACAAAUUUUUUUUUUAUUAUUAAUAUUCUAGCUCUACCAGCCAAUAAUUGCUUUUCUUUGGUUUCAUAGAGUUUGCACCAUUCUCAUUAUUUAUUGAACGCCCCACGUAAUUAAAAUUUUUGUUGUAAAUAUUGCAGUUGUGGUAAAAUCUAAAUUUUAAGAGUUUCUUCAAGAUGAACAAAUUUUUGUAAAUUAUGUCAAAAUAAUGAAAAAAAAAUUCUUUCAAAGAUACAUUGAAAGAUUUUUUUUUAAUUUUUUUUUAAACUGAUUAAAACUAGGGUAUAAUUCUUUCAUUCAAAGGUAAUUCCUACAGUAAUGACAUAAUUGUAUUCAUAUAUAUUUAUGUCUAGGAGAAAUAUAAUUGACCAGAAUAAAAACGAAUUUCAUAACCAUAAUAUUAUCCUUGCCCGUUACAUGUGGAAUUACCCAUAUUUUAAUUUUACCCCGUUUUGAUGAUAUUAAAUUAAAAUUGUAAUUAUGUUGUGGUGUGCUAUUGACACCAUUCUUGUCACUAAUGUUACAUUAUUGCAAAUGUCGGUCGCCAUAUUUAGUUUGUUUCUGUCUUAUGCUGCUGAAACUAAUAAAAAGCGCGAUAAUAUAUAUUAAAUUGGAUUGGCUAUUGAUAACAGUUAAUAAUAAAUUAUAACCAUCAUUAUGUAUACUGUACAAAAUCUUGUCGUAUAUCCAUACAUUUUUGAAACUUCUAUAGAAAAUUCCAGAUUGAAGGAAGUGCCAGGAAGCUUUUUUUUUAAAUAUUUUUGUAUUUAAAUAUUGAUGACAUUUUUGACUUAUUACUUAGUAACUUUAUUUAGUUUAAUUUAUUCCUAGUGUCUUUAUUAAUUAAUUUUUAUUGUUUUUUUUUACAUAAUUGUUAACAUUUUAACAGUAAAAAAACAUCUUUGGAAAUUAUUAUUGUAAUAGUACUGUUUUCGUUUUUAUUUUUACGAGAGACUUUAUAUUUCAGUAUUUUCAUAAAACACAGUACAUUUAUCGUUUUGUAAUAAAAUAGAACACGUGUGUGUUUUAAUGUGAAUUAUUUGUUCCCGCGUAAAUGUAUUUCAGUUUUGCGUAAAGUAUACGCGUUGGUAAUAAAUUGGCUGCGAUGAAAUGUGUAACAUUAUAAAAUAUUUUUUAAUAUUUGUACUACAUGUUAAUUUUGUGGCAUCAAACAUCCUCGACAUGGAACAGGCUUCAUUCUUCAGCUUCGUCCAGGAGACCAGGAUUAGUACGAGUACACUGGAAUUAGUGGACCAGCUAGAGGCUGCAGUUUGGGAAAAGUCAAAAGGAGAUCGCCCAGUUAAAAGAUACUUUGAAACAUACGACACGCCUUUUGUAGGACGAGGACGCCGGAACAGUUAUGCUACAUCAAACAAAUAAAUAUAAGUGUUUUUUAUGACAAGAAUUAGAUGUCUUCAUUUAUUACUGAAUUAAAUUACUCAAAAAUUUAUUUAAUCAUGUGAUAAGAUCAUCUUAC